AGGACAGGAAAAGGAGGGCAUGCUGGGAGAAAUCCACAUGCAGAGGAGGGGGGGUGGGGGGGGGGGUUCUCUGCACUCUCAAACACACAAUCAAAUCAAAUCAGUUUUAUUUGUACAGCGCUUUACAGAAUACUGCCACAAAGACGCUGUACAGAGUAGCAGAAAGAGGGAGCAAAAACCAGGACUGAACUCCCAAAUAGAAAAAAAACCUCCUCAGUGGGAACACACAUCAUUAAACCACGAAAACAGAAAAAGCAUCCUUUCUUCUCCAAGACAUUGGUAAAAACUCAACACCCCCCUCAGUACUCAUAAAAAUCAACAUUUAAGCAUUUAGCAGAUGGUCCUUCCUGACUUGCAUCAUUUACAUACAGUGCAAUCCAUUUAUACAGCUGGAUAUUUACUGAAGAAAUUAAGGUUAAGCACUUUGCUCUAGGGAACCAUGGCGAUAGGAGGUUCAAGCCCAGUUCCCUAGCCACCAUGCUACACUGCAGCCUUGAUACUCCACCCAGCAGUGAUGAGGCUGCUGACUGGAUGCUGGGUUGAAGGGACCGGGUUCAUUUAAGGCGACGAUUGGCUCAUUUAAGGUCUGGCAGCUUUACUAGUGAAAAGUAAAAGGUUGUAAAAACAAAUGUGCUAGGAGGGCAUUCAGAUUCACUUUUGAAUGCAUCUAACAGAAGCAAUGCAUGUUGUGGCGCAGCGCUUGGUCCUUGUGUCAGGGGUGACUGGACAAGAGAGACAGGGGACACUGCAAUGCUCACUGCCUUCUUUCCACUCCUUGAACUCAAACAAAGAAAAGACUCACAAAAUAAGAUGGUGGGAAAGACAACAACAUGCACCUCUGUCAGAGGGUUGGCCAGACGAGCUCACAUGGUGGCCAAGCGGUGAAGAGGGACUCUUUUCGUGGACCAAGGGCAAUUGUGACCUCCUCUUUUAUUGGAUGUGACCCAGGAAAUGUAAACUCCAAACUGGAGAGCCUCACCAACGGUUACUUAUGUGGGGAUUCAUUCAUUAAUUUUCAAUCGAGCAUAACGGAUAGCUCUUUUAUUUUAUUACACGCACAGGGUCCUCAAACUUUAACUCCGUUAUCCCAUUAGUGCGCUUGAGCAGAGGUGAUAAAACCUUGCAGUCUCGGUAAUAACCAGGAAGCCGUUUGUUUUCGCCGAGGGCGUCAGCAUGUCUUUGGCUCGCCUGAGGGAUCUGCCUUCCUGCUUCAGGAGGGGAGAGAGAAGCAGGAAUCAGGUCAAGGAUAUGCUCGAUUUUCAUGAAGUAACAGGCCGGAUUUGAGAAGUAUUUUACCGCAUGGCUUCGUAGGCCAGUCUGGCACAGGGCCUUGUGAUCCUUUCCCAUGAUCCGUUGCUCAAACACGGGUUUAAUUAUGUCGGGAUCAGGCCUCUUCAGAGCUGAAGCUUUGCCUGGAGGACACCGCCUGGCGUGAUCUGAGGUUUAGCCUGCUGCCAUUUCUGUUUGCCAAGAAUGUACCACUACAGCCCCCUCCCCAAACCCCAGAAGAAGAAGAAGAAGAAGAAAAAAUGAGUAUCUGAAUACUAUUCCGUUAAAGAAAGCAAGUAUCCGUUAUUAUUUAUUUACUUUCUCCUCGUUUUGUGGAGGGAUGGGUUGUUAUCAUGGGUCGCCUCUGGUUGGUCAGGCAGUAGUAAACGCACACAGUUCUUUUCUUGCUUGGUCAGGCAGUAGUAAACGCACACAGUUCUUUACUUGCUUGGUCAGGCAGUAGUAAACGCACACAGUUCUUUUCUUGCUUGGUCAGGCAGUAGUAAACGCACACGUUUUUUAUUGCUUAGUGUCUGAUUGGGGUUGCACUUCUUUAGCAUGCCAAAUCCAGCAAUGUUUGCAUAUCCAUACACAGUAUUUAUGAGGACUCCACACCACACACAGUAUUUAUGAGGACUCCACACCACACACAGUAUUUAUGAGGACUCCACACCACACACAGUAUUUAUGAGGACUCCACCCCAUACACAGUAUUUAUGAGGACUCCA